CGGGUUCCCCUCCUCAGGGCAGGCAGGAGGAAGGCAGAGCUCCCCGCUCGGAUUCGUGCUGCACUGACGAGCUCUGCUCCACCCUGCCCGGUGCCGGCCGCGCUGUUCCUUCAGGGUUCUGUGUGGCCGUCAUAGGGAAGGUGAUGGCGCUGCGCCCACCUCGGCAGGCGAAGGAAACCUCUGUGCUGCCAGGCACCUGUAAAAACAUAGCACUUGACAAGCUGUGUGGGAGGUUAAUGCUCGGGAGGCUUCCAUCUACCCAGGAAGCUUCCCGAGCUGUUCGUAGGCAAGAGUGGUUUUAGCAACUGGGUGCGAAGCUCUUUGGCCAGAUGUGACUAUGUGACUGCUGUGACCCAAGAGACAUACAGCAUCUAUUGGAAAUGUGGAAGUCAUAGGGGCAACAGCUGCUUUUGAGUUACAGAAGUGAGCAGGUAAGAGACAAAGCUGGAAAAAAUGGAAGAAACUGCCUUAUUAGAAGCAUAAAAACUAGUGACUGUAUCUUGGCCAGUGUUCCCGAUUUUCCAGUAAGCUGUCUGCUGUACGGAGGUGUAUAACCCUAAUGGCUUGUUGUAUGCCAUUAAAAGGAAAAAGAAAUACUAAUACUCUGCACUAUCUGCAAAGGCAAGGCACAAAAGGAAGAAGCAAGAGAGCCUGAGUAUAAAACUGUGAUUAGAAACAUAGGCAAAACUGCUGAAUAACAUAGGGUCAAGCUGUUGAAGGGAUAUCAACUAGCCUAUAUUCUUGUCCUUUGACUUUGGAACUGAAGUGUUGAGAGAGCAGGAUCAAGUACUAGCAAUAUUCUUUUCCACCCAGUGAGUGACAAAGUUGUGAAUUGGUAAAACCUGACGGUGAGUACAUUUUCUAGGACAAAUAAGCUCCAAGACUGCCUCUGGAAGGCCUCAGGAGCUGGGAUUAUCUGGCAUUUCCGGCUGAGCUGUGCUGAGGCCGGUAACAUCAGGAAGGUGCUGCAAUCUCGGCCUCCUGCUCCCCUCUCCAAAAUCAGGCUGUGCUUUUCCAGGACGAUGUUGGGCUAUAGAUGCAUUUAGUGCUGUGCUUUGUAAUACCCGUCCAACUAUUCUAUAACCACCACAGAUUCCUUGCUGGUUGUGCUUUGUUGCUUAAGUGAAAGUCCAGAAUGCAGGGAUGCUUGUGGGAGCUGAAUGGUUUGAAGCUUUCUGUAAUUUUUCCUGUUACCCUCAGGGCACUCUGAAAAAAUUACCUCUUUGUAGAGUCUUUGGGAUAUGAUGCAGUCCCAGAUCAGACAUUUCUCUAUUAAAUAAAAAGUAUGAUAAGCCUAAAA